GCCCGGCUAGCUCAGUUGGUAGAGCAUGAGACUUUUAAUCUCAGAGUCGUGGGUUCAAGCCCCAAGUUGGGCG
rnacentral:tRNA from 1 species